rnacentral:pre_miRNA from 1 species
AAUAAGAUUAUUUUUUAGUUUUUUGAUACAAUGUUUUGACUCUUCGUUUUAUUUAAAAAAUUUUUGCGAUUAAUAUUUUAAAACAUGAAUAGUAUUUUAUGCGUGACUAAUUAUUUUAGUUUUUUUAAUAAAUUUUUCAAAUAAGACGAAUAAUCAAAUGUUAGACACGGAAAC